GGGCCCGUAGCUCAGCAUGGUUAGAGCGUUCGACUGAUAAUCGAAAGGUCCGGCGUUCAAAUCGCCGCGGGCCCACCA
rnacentral:tRNA from 1 species